UACGUAGGGAGCAAGCGUUGUCCGGAAUCAUUGGGCGUAAAGCGCGCGUAGGCGGCCCUGUAAGUCCGUUGUGAAAGUCAAAGGCUCAACCUUUGAAAGCCGAUGGAUACUGCAGGGCUAGAGUCCGGAAGAGGCGAAGUGGAAUUCCUGGUGUAGCGGUGGAAUGCGCAGAUAUCAGGAGGAACACCAAUAGCGAAGGCAGCUCGCUGGGACGGUACUGACGCUAAGGCGGCGAAAGCGUGGGGAGCGAACAGGA
rnacentral:rRNA from 1 species